rnacentral:rRNA from 1 species
UGAGCAACCUGCCCUUGACCCUGGAAUAACAGCUGGAAACAGCUGCUAAUACCGGAUAUGACCUCCGAUGGCAUCAUCUGGAGGUGGAAAGCUCCGACGGUCAAGGAUGGGCUCGCGGCCUAUCAGCUCGUUGGUGAGGUAACGCUCACCAAGGCUUCGGACGGGUAGCCCGGCCUGAGAGGGCCGACCGGCCACACGUGGGACUGAGAUACCGGCCCAGACCUCGUACGGGGA